rnacentral:rRNA from 1 species
AGGUCUUGACAUCCUCUGACAACCCUAGAGAUAGGGCUUUCCCUUCGGGGACAGAGUGACAGGUGGUGCAUGGUUGUCGUCAGCUCGUGUCGUGAGAUGUUGGGUUGAGUCCCGCAACGAGCGCAACCCUUGAUCUUAGUUGCCAGCAUUCAGUUGGGCACUCUAAGGUGACUGCCGGUGACAAACCGGAGGAAGGUGGGGAUGACGUCAAAUCAUCAUGCCCCUUAUGACCUGGGCUACACACGUGCUACAAUGGACAAUACAAAGGGUUGCGAGACCGCGAGGUGGAGCGAAUCCCAUAAAAUUGUUCUCAGUUCGGAUUGCAGGCUGCAACUCGCCUGCAUGAAGCCGGAAUCGCUAGUAAUCGCGGAUCAGCAUGCCGCGG